rnacentral:rRNA from 1 species
AUUGAACGCUGGCGGCAUGCUUUACACAUGCAAGUCGAACGGCAGCACGGGCUUCGGCCUGGUGGCGAGUGGCGAACGGGUGAGUAAUGCAUCGGAACGUACCGUGUAGUGGGGGAUAACGUAGCGAAAGUUACGCUAAUACCGCAUACGCCCCGAGGGGGAAAGUGGGGACCGCAAGGCCUCACGCUAUAUGAGCGGCCGAUGUCGGAUUAGCUAGUUGGUAGGGUAAAGGCCUACCAAGGCGACGAUCCGUAGCGGGUCUGAGAGGAUGAUCAGCCACACUGGAACUGAGACACGGUCCAGACUCCUACGGGAGGCAGCAGUAGGGAAUAUUGGACAAUGGGGGCAACCCUGAUCCAGCCAUGCCGCGUGAGUGAAGAAGGCCCUCGGGUUGUAAAGCUCUUUUGUCCGGAAAGAAAAGCAAUCGGUUAAUACCCGGUUGUUCUGACGGUACCGGAAGAAUAAGCACCGGCUAACUUCGUG